UGAACGCUGGACGGCAUGCCUUACACAUGCAAGUCGAACGCGAAAGGGGGGCAAACUCCUGAGUAGAGUGGCGAACGGGUGAGUAAUACAUCGGUAACUAUAUCCAGUAGCGGGGGUAUAACCUCGAGAAAUUCGAGGCUAAUACCGCAUACGUCCUACGGGAGAAAGCAGGGGACCGCAAGGCCUUGCACUAUUGGAGUGGCCGAUGUCGGAUUAGCUAGUUGGCGGGGUAAAAGCCCACCAAGGCGACGAUCCGUAGCUGGUCUGAGAGGAUGAUCGGCCACACUGGGACUGAGACACGGCCCAGACUCCUACGGGAGGCAGCAGUGGGGAAUUUUGGACAAUGGGCGCAAGCCUGAUCCAGCCAUGCCGCGUGAGUGAAGAAG
rnacentral:rRNA from 1 species